CAACAGCUCCAGCAUCAGCAUCAACAUCAGCACCAGAGUCACCAGACACAACAGACGCAACCACAGUCUCAACCCCAGCAGCAGCACAGGGCACAUAACAUGGACAUGCAACACCAAACCACUCACAAUGUACAGAUGCAGAAGAGGCCAGAGGAGCCUUCUGUUGAACUGGAGGAACUCAUUUCUCAGCCCAGGACGUCUAAACCGGCUAAGCCCUACUCUUACAAUCCCCCUCAGAGGAAUGCUUCUCCUGCUGGGGCUUGUGCUACCCACCUGUCCCCGUGUUGCCAGUCGCCUUCAUUAAGACCUCAUCCCAAAAGCACUCCCUCCACCCCCUGCCCUGCUCCGAGCCCUGCUGCAGCAGCUCUUCACUCACCUGCAAUCAGCCCAGCGCCACCUCAGAUGCCAAAGGGUGCUGAAUCCCAGGACAAGCGAGAAGUACAGCCGCCACAGGAUUACCCAGAGUCUCUGGAACCAGACCUGCCUCCUGGAUACACCUAUCCUGGUAUUGCCAUUGGCUACAGGAGUGGACCGUCCCCUGAGGAUGUUCAUCUCGUUGAGCCAGCAGACCUGGAAGCGGUCCAAGUGGAGCCUGCUGAGCAUGCUCCCUCAUCUCUCUCCACCCUAGGGGAGGAGCUGGACUGCCAAGCUGUGGUCAGACCUCUGCCGGAGCCACUCCCACCUGAGGAUGUGGUUCAGGAAGAGGAGGAAAGUGUGGUUGAAAGAGUUCUUGAGCAGAGGGAGGAGGUGGAGGUAGCAGAGAUAACUGCCACCCACUAUGUGCCUGGAGAGAAGGAGGUGGAAGAGCAGGGGCCCAGUGAGGAUGAGGUGCUUGUUUGCCCCCCUACUGAAAGCCCUGUGUGUGAGGCCGCUUCCUGUCCAAUCCCCCUUUCCACAGAGGAGCCUGAAAGGCCAGAUGCUGUCAUCACCUUGGAUGAAGAAGAGGAUGAUGAGGCAGUGGAAGAGAAGAGCCAGGUGGAGCAUGCUCAAAAGGUCAACAUGCCUGGAGAGCAGGAACCAGAGCUGGCCGCCAUCACUGAGCUCAACCCCGCUUCCCCUGCAGUCCCUGAGCCACAGACCUCAGCCCCCGAGGAGGCAGAGGACAGCGGGCAUCGGCACGAGAACGAGAUGACCCCUGACGACGCCUCGGUGGAUUUAGUGUGUCUUUCUCCCGCCACUACUUCUGCCCUCAGCCCUAGCAAGGCGACCGAUGCCAUGCCCCACAAACCUCUUGUGCCAUGCUACUGGAGUCUGGAGCUGCUGAUUGCUGCUGCCUUCUGCACAGACGUGCCCCCUUUUCCUCUGUUCCCUUUCAGCGCCCCAUCAGUGCCCCCAUCGCAGCCCAACCCCCACCAGGGUAUGGAACUUCUGAGUGAGUUGGCAGAUCUGGAGCUGCAACAGCAACGGCACACCUGCGGGAAAAGCCAGGAAGAGGAGUUGCUGAUGUUCGACCUCCAGAGUCUUGCUACCUUAGCCACAGCUCGUGCACUGGAGAUGAGCUCCCAGGAAGGAAACAGUACAG
rnacentral:lncRNA from 1 species